UUACGGUCAAAUCACGCUGAAACACCGGUUCUCGUACGAUCACCGAAGUUAAGCAGCGUAGAGCCAGGUCAGUACUUAGAUGGGGGACCGCUUGGGAACACCCUGGUAUUGUAAG
rnacentral:rRNA from 1 species